CACUAACCCACACCCACAUUAUUCAUGCACAACAGAACUUGACUCAGUCUCAGUGCUUUCAUUCAACCACCAGCUACUCUCAUAUUUUUAUUCAUUUUAUAAAUUUUAUAAAUAAUUUGGAACUAAUAAAUCAGUAUGUUAAUAAUGAUUAUAUAAUAAAUCAGUUUAAUAAGUACUAGAAAUUAAAAAUCUGAUCUUUAAAGUGGACUUCAGUUAAGAUGGAGGAGAGGCAGAUGAUACUCAUAAUGCUCAUCACAGUUUCAGGCGUUUUUGCUGAUAGAAUUGGACCAAGAGAAGGAGACACUAAUAUAAUCAGAGAAGAAGGAGAGUCUGUGAAACUGAGCUGCACAUAUGAAACAAACAGCAAUGAUAUUUGGCUCUACUGGUACAGACAAUAUCCAAACAGAGAACCAGAAUAUAUACUGUAUAAAGGCGCUCGAUCAAAGAGCAGUGAGGAGGAUAUACCAGAUGGUUUUCAGUCAACUACAUCCCAGUCAUCCACUGAACUUACUAUUUUAAAAGCAGCUCUGUCAGAUUCAGCUCUUUAUUACUGUGCACUUGAAGUAGCCCAGUGUUACAAAAUACCAGAGAAGCUUUACAAAAACUUACAUGAAAUUAAUGCUUUGAAGAGUCUUUAAUCAAUCAGUAUCAAAACACAUCAUGUUUUUAUAAACCAAAAACAGUGAAUGUGGUAACAGCUGUGAAUUUAGAAGAUU